GGAUAAAAGCAGCCACAGUCGUUAGCAUCAGAAGCCACCUAAGGUUUCUCCUGUAAGACCAGAGGUUGUUUGAACUAGGUGGUGUUUGUGUGAACUGAUGGAGUUCUUGAUAAAGUGAGGGAAUCAUCGCUGAAACCAUAAGGAACUUUUGAAAACGUGAAGACAAUAAAUGUCUAAGCUGUUUGUAUUCAUCUGCAGUAGCUCUUUAGUUGGCACAUGAUGGUGAAACCUCCGGAGGUAAGCAUGAUAUCUUGGGUGCAAGCUUUGGAGGACCCACCAGAUUAUCCCAGAAAGGAUUUCACAGCGACUUAUUUACUUGUCUAAAAGAAAAAAAACCCUCAUAUGAUAUUAGGUAUGACUUAAGAGUAAGUAAGUACCUCUCUGUGUACAUUCAGAGAUACUCAUUAAAUCAAGGCUCUGAUUUUAUAUGUAUAGAACUUAGAGAAUAUGUGAUUUGAAGCCAUUAAAAGUGGGACUCUAAAAAGUAAAGAUGUUUAAUUAGGCUGCGUGAAUUUAAACUCAUUUAAAAAUCUGUUUUUGUUUUGACUACCAUUGUGAACUAGCACAAAUGCAAGUAUAGCACAGUCCCUUUAGUCCCCUGGAAGAACAAUGGGAUCAGUGUCUUGAUCUGAGCCUGUGGGAGAGAACCUUUUACCUGAGAGAAAUCAAUCAGGGAAAUAAAUCAGGUUGCCUGCAUGUGCUUCAGCUCAUUACAUUUCAAUGCACAUUCAACUGCCAUUUCAAACAUCACUGAUCUGUGGGAUCAUAGGGGCCACUGACAACCACAAUGUAUGGAAACCUCAGCCAUUUUUAAAGACUCACAGUAACAAGUAAUGACUACAGUAACCAUUAGCUGCCUCUAAUCUUCAUAGCCCUUUGUUAGGCAAUUCAAGAGGGUCUGUAUCAUCAAUUUGAACUUCUUGGAAGGAAACAAACAAGCAAUUAGAAAAUUAAUACAAGGACAUUUUUGGGACAUAAUAAUUUAUAUCAAAAUUGAUCAUUAUGGGUUAUUUACUCUGUAUAAAGAUAUUCAUCAGCAUAUUAAUCAUAAAAAGUAGCAAAUCCUAGUGUUGUAAAUUUGUUUUACCAAAUGUGAAAAGGAAUUAUGAAAUAAUGUUGAAUUUCAUUCCAACAAUGCCCAAAUAGCCCCAAUAUUGAAUGGAUAAGAAGCCAUUAAAGUGAAACAGUUUUAAACCAUCAUCAAACACGAGUUUGCACAAAAGCUCAGAAAUUUGCUUGGAUGAAGACUGUAGAACACACAAUACAGUAAGCCAGGUCAUUUAAAGAUGGCAGUGCUUGAGACUCAUACAAAAAGCUGUGUGCACACAUGGACAUGCACUGUGUAUCAUGAAGAGAAAAAGUCUGCUGAUUUCCUUCAUUGGAAAUUAUGAUAGAGAAGGCAAAAACCUUGGGUUCUACAUGCAAACAUUUGUUUAAGCAAUGGAGAGGAAGAUGAAAGGGGUAAGCAGAAAUCUAGUGUUCUGUACCUAAAUGAAUGUUUUAAAUAAUGGGGAGGAAGAAUAAACAGAAGAGGGUAUUCCAAGUAUGCAAACUCAUUCAUCAAAACUUUCCAAAUAAUUUAUGACAGCGUAUAGAAUAUAGCAAAAAUAUGUAACAGUACAGUAAAAUAUAUAAGAAUAUAGUAGAAAUGUACAAAUAUGUUUAUUGUAUUAUUUAUCAAUGUAUUUUCUCUCUCUCUCUCUCUCUCUCUCUCUCUCUCUCUCUCUCUCUCUCUCUCUCUCUCUUUCUCUCUCUCUCUCCCUCUCUCUCCUUAUGGGGACCAGAUCUUACUGCCCAUUCCUGACUGGCCUAGAACUCAUUAUGUAGAUGGGGCUAGUUGAAUACUCAGUAAUCUGCCUGCCUCUACCUGCUCAGUGCUCGAAUUGAAGGCUUAUGCCAGCCUGAAUGUCCUUGAACCAUUUUUAGUGAGAACUAUAGUGUAAAUAUUCACAUUAAUAUUCACAUUAUAGACUACACUUCUGAAUGAAUAGUAACAAAAGUAUUAGCCUUACACUGAAAUAAUACUGAUAAAAAUGCGAAUAUAUUGACUAGAAUGAUUACUUUCAUUUUAUAAUUCCAAACAUUGCUACUCUUGUAUAGUAAUGUGAAUUUAUUUAAAGUUGAAUUGUUUUCUUGAAUAUUGACUACAUAGCUCCACUCAAUAAUCAAUAGGUUGAAUUUUUUAUAUUUUAAUAAGGAUAUUGGAUACCUUCUAUC
rnacentral:lncRNA from 1 species